AUGCAGCCGCCUCCAUCCAUCGGCACAUCCGCCCCGCUUAGCCGCAUUGUUCAUCUUGAAAGGGAGCCGCGAGGUGCUGUCAUGUCAAGCCCAAGGAAUGGUGUCGGUCAAUUGGUGUAUAGGCCACCUCGGUCCAGUUUAGAAUUUACCUCUAUUUUAAAUCCCGCUUCCUUGUUAGCUGGGAAACCCCUCCUCUAUGAAGCAGAGAAUGAUCGAUCGAAGACUGAGAAGAUAGAAUAA